rnacentral:rRNA from 1 species
GACGAACCGUGCAAACGUUGUUCGGAUUCACUGGGCUUAAAGGGCGCGUAGGCGGCCUUCUAAGUCAGACGUGAAAUCCCCAGGCUUAACUUGGGAACUGCGUCUGAUACUGGGAGGCUUGAGUGCGGGAGAGGGAUGUGGAAUUCCAGGUGUAGCGGUGAAAUGCGUAGAUAUCUGGAGGAACACCGGUGGCGAAGGCGGCAUCCUGGACCGACACUGACGCUGAGGCGCGAAAGCUAGGGGAGCAAACGGG